rnacentral:tRNA from 1 species
UCCCACAUAGCUCAGUUGGUAAAGAAUCUGCCUGUAAUGCUGGAGACCUGGGUUCGACUCCUGGAUUGGGAA